rnacentral:rRNA from 1 species
GCUGAUUAUCAUACCACCCUUACUAUACUGAUCUUGUCUGAUUUUGAAAGCUAAGCAGGGUCAGGGCUUGGUAUGGGAGACCAUCAAGAAAUACCAGAGAUCUCCAGAU